ACAGUUUCUUACACCUCAUCACUUACAAAUUCUGAUUCAGUAGGUCUUGGUUGAGGCCAUGGUAUCUCCGUUUCAAGUAACUACCAGGCAAUCCAAAAGACUGUCCCAAAUGACAUUUGAGAACCACUAGAUACAAUGAGGUAUUUAUACCAAUACAAUAGGGAGUGAGGUUUUCAGCAGAAGAGGCAUGAAAUGGUGAGGUGAUUGUUGCAUAGCGGGGGGGCCACCUUCUGAUUAAAGCCUUUUCAAAAGACAAUCUCGGCUCUGUGAGUUACAGAGGAAACGUUACCAUAAAUAACAUCCAUAAAUGUAUUUGUGUAGCGUUUACCUUUUUAAUGUCACUGAGACUUGGAGCAUUAAGAUUUGGCUUGUCCUUAAAAUAGUCUGCUAUGGGUUGCUUUUUCUCGGCUUAUUACAGAUACACAAAUGGAUUACAAUCUUUUUAUACUUGGGUAAGUUAUUUGAUUAACUUAUUUCUCUGAGUUUCAGCUGCUGAAAUUCAAUCUCCUAUAAAUAAAACUGUAAAAAAAGCAAAAAGGAAAGAAAACUUACUGGGCAUUUACAUCUCAAUUCUCAUAUCCUAUGACGUAUAUAUAGUGUACUCAUUUUGCAGAUAAUCAGAGAAGAGAGGUAAAUACUCUUCAGACGAUUCAAAUUUUUGUACUCCAAGCUCCAUAGCUCUGCUCUGCUUUAAACAAAUGUAUGGUUAGAACAGACCAUGAGAUCAGAGAAACCUCUAUAUAACCAGAAAUACAAAUGCUAGAAAUCUCUGGGGAGUAACACAAUUUAAUCGAAAAGCUUUUAUUUUGUUAUAGGGAUAAGGACGGUGGCUUGAAAUAGGACUUGGGAAAUACCUUUCACAAAGGCAUUCCUAAAUAGGCUGACUGAAAUUAUAAUGUAAAAAUAAAUGGGUAAAACCCAAGGAUAGAAUUUGUUGUGAGUUUUGGCUGAGACAAACAUGAUUCAGCUUCUGAACAUACUUUGUUUCCUACAACUCUCUUUAUCCUGUUUUCAGCAGUUUUAUGGGCCUAGAAGAGACACUACUUCUGUUAUAGGACUAUGCUAUAAUAUUGUGAUGUAUUCAGGGUCAACAUUGACCUAUAAGGACAAGGGCUCCUUACACCUUCUAAGGAGUUCAGCUCUUGUCAUCUACUUACUUAUUCUGUAUUCACUUGUUUCUUGAUGUUCAGUCUCUGACAGUUACCAUUUCUCACUGUUUGCCUAGAAUAAAAAUUCUAGGAAGAGUCAAAUGUUCAGAAAUAGGGCCUUUGAAUGCUAGUAGUUAACCCUUGAACAACACAGGUUGAACUGUGAGGGUACACUCAUACAUGGAUUUUUUUUUUUUUGGACGCAGUGUCCUGUAUUUUAUUUAUGAUUUUAAUAAUUUUCUACAGCUUCAUUUUAAGAAUACAGUAUGUAAUAGGGGUGCCUGGCUGGCUCAGUUAACUACCUGACUCUUGAUUUUGGCUCACAUCAUAAUCUCAUGGUUUGUGGGUUUAAGCCCCACAUUGGGCUCCAUGCUGACAGUGCAGAACCUGCUUAGGAUUCUCUCUGCUCUUCCCCUGCCCCCCCCGCACAAACUUUAUAUAUACUUUUUAUACUGUAUUUUUUUUUUUUUUUUUAAGUAUGUGUUGAGUGUUAUCAGUAAGGCUUCUGGCUAAGAGUAGGCUAUUUAUUAGUAGGCUAAGUUUUUGGAGAAUCAAGUUAUAUGUAGAUUUUCAACAGCACAUGGGGUCAGCACCAUAUAUAGUUGGUUCAAAGGUCAACUGUAUAUGGAUUUACUGAAGCCUAUUAUUUUAGGUGGUCAAGGCCUUUCUGGCUCCUGGGUCCCUCCCUGGUUGAGAUGAACAGAAACCCAGUCUUCAGACAACGAAUACUGCUUUAUUGUGGCCAUGCAAUAGCAUAUUUUCUUCAACAGAAUCCUUCACAAUGAACUUUAAAAAGAAAAAAAAAAAUGGUAAGGUCAUCAAAUACACAGAAAGCAGAAGGUUGUUUGCUGAGGGCUGAGUUUCAAGUUGCGAUGAAAAAGUUCUGGAGAUGGAUGAUGGUGAUAACUGCACGACAGUAUGGAAGUAAGUACUGCCACUGAACUGGACACUUCACAGUAUUUACUUCAGCUAUUUUUAUGUAUACUUUACUAGUAUAGAAAAAAAAAGAAUAGGCUC